rnacentral:rRNA from 1 species
AGAGUUUGAUCCUGGCUCAGGAUGAACGCUAGCGGCAGGCUUAACACAUGCAAGUCGAGGGGUAUUGGUUUUCGGACCAAGAGACCGGCGCACGGGUGCGUAACGCGUAUGCAAUCUACCUUUCACAGAGGGAUAGCCCAGAGAAAUUUGGAUUAAUACCUCAUAGUAUGUAUGAAUGGCAUCAUUUAUACAUUAAAGUCACAACGGUGAAAGAUGAGCAUGCGUCCCAUUAGCUUGUUGGUAAGGUAACGGCUUACCAAGGCUACGAUGGGUAGGGGUCCUGAGAGGGAGAUCCCCCACACUGGUACUGAGACACGGACCAGACUCCUACGGGAGGCAGCAGUGAGGAAUAUUGGACAAUGGGCGCAAGCCUGAUCCAGCCAUGCCGCGUGCAGGAUGACGGUCCUAUGGAUUGUAAACUGCUUUUGCACAGGAAGAAACAACAUUACGUGUAAUGUCUUGACGGUACUGUGAGAAUAAGGAUCGGCUAACUCCGUGCCAGCAGCCGCGGUAAUACGGAGGAUCCAAGCGUUAUCCGGAAUCAUUGGGUUUAAAGGGUCCGUAGGCGGUCUUAUAAGUCAGUGGUGAAAUCUCCCCGCUCAACGGGGAAACGGCCAUUGAUACUGUAAGACUUGAAUUAUUAGGAAGUAACUAGAAUAUGUAGUGUAGCGGUGAAAUGCUUAGAGAUUACAUGGAAUACCAAUUGCGAAGGCAGGUUACUACUAAUGGAUUGACGCUGAUGGACGAAAGCGUGGGUAGCGAACAGGAUUAGAUACCCUGGUAGUCCACGCCGUAAACGAUGGAUACUAGCUGUUGGGAGCAAUUUCAGUGGCUAAGCGAAAGUGAUAAGUAUCCCACCUGGGGAGUACGUUCGCAAGAAUGAAACUUAAAGGAAAUGGACGG